GUAACAAGAUGCAAGUUAAACAGAAUAGUUAGUCUUGCAAUUUUAAGAACAUAAUUCAAUGCACUGCUGACCUCAAAUAUUGAGAUUUAAGAUGUCUCUGCUCAUUUUUAAGCUAGACUAGUAUAGCAGCAGAAAUAUUUAAUUUUGUUUGGUUCAUUGGUCAACCACAUAACCUAGGAGGAUAGACCUCAACCGUAAACACCACUCCAAAUCACAUUACACUCAAGCUUUGUUUGGUUCGUAGAAUGGCAUGAAAUAGUAUUAGUAUGGGAAUAGAAUAACUAUUCCAUGUUGAAUAGCUAUUCAUAGAUUUGAUUCAAAUUUGAACUUGGAAUACCACUACACAAUUUUAAUGUUUUAUUAAAUUUUAAAAUUUACAACAAUUAUUAUAAUUAUAUAAAAUAUGUAUUUUUUAAAAUUAGUACGUUAAAAAUUCAAAUUCUAACUACUCCCAUUGGCUGAAUAUCUCUAGUUUUAACAACUGUAAUGUGCCUAAAUCCAUAGAUUUCCAUUUUUGCUCAAUGAAGCAAUCUUGGUUCUUGGAUGGCACUUCAGAUGAGGUCAGCCUUCCUCAUCAACCUGCAUCCUCCAUAAAAAUUGUUUAUCGUUCAAACCCAAUACACCUUUUAAAAAAACAACAGUUAAGGUUAUAAAUGAACCAAGCUACUCGUGAUCUAUUCGGCUGGAACCUAAUUUUAAGCUUGAUCAAUAAAUGAGCCGAACUUGAGCCUAAUUUUUAAGCUCAUUUAAUAAACGAGCCUAACUUGAGCUUAUUAAUAUUCAGCUUGUUAAACUAUGUAUGUCCCUAAACCUAAAACUCACUAGGGCUGUAAAUGAGCCGAGCUACUCUAGACUCAAUUCAAUUUGGCUUGGCUCAUUUUCUAAAUAAGCCGAAAAUGAGCCGAGCUUGAACUUAUUGAUAUUGGCUUA
rnacentral:misc_RNA from 1 species